ensembl:lncRNA
AUGCAAUUAGAAGCAGUGGCAUAUGUGUGUGUGUGCGAUGUCCUCCUCCUUCGUCCUGAUAGAGGCCUCUUGUGUGAAGAUCUUACAGACCCAAUUACUGUAAUCAUGAUGAUCAAAGUGAGGGUGUUGAAGAGAAGAGAGUGGCAGUUAAGUCAAAGUGUGGCAAAGUAUGUUUGUGUGUAUCAUUUGCGUGGGGGUAGGGGUGUGGUUAGCUGUUUGAUUCACACCCAUCAUCUGUUUAAUGUACAGAUUCGUUUUCACCACUCUCAAUCUCUUUCUUCAUGUGUGUGUGGGUGUGUGUAUGUGUGGGUGUCUUGGCAGUUUCCAAAGUUGGUUCAGCAGAUACACUGGAUUAGGUGGGAAGCCAAAUCACUCCUGGCGACUGACCCUGUCCUGCACCACUGUAAAGAUGUGCUGUCUAAGAUGUGGAUACUGAAUUUAAUCAUUUUUUACAGCAAGACUGUGUUUGCUUUAUAGUCAUGUUAGCAAGACUGUGUUUGUUAAAAGCCAUCACCAAUGAUAACUUGUAUGUUAACUCUAUUUUUAAUUACUUGUAUUUUCAUUUAGCAACAACUUCUGUAUUGUGUUUUCAAGUGAAAAAGAAUACUGAACUUGAAAAAAUGUUGGGCGGGGCUUGAUUUAAUAGUGAAGAAGUGAUCAAAUAUUAUUGGUUCAUUUUUUGCCCCGCCCACAUGGCCUUGGUUACAUCAGCAAAAAUGUUUCAGUGCUAUUAUAUCUCAACUGAAGAUUAUAAAAACUGUAAAUUUAACUGUAUAUUUUCAAUGUAAAAUGAACAAUUAAAUCUAAAUGAUUGAAAAAAAAAAUUAAGAAUAGUGUGCACUAAUAAAUAAUGCACAAUAAGACA